CCUACGAGAGGCAGCAGUGAGGAAUAUUGGUCAAUGGUCGGGAGAAUGAACCAGCCAAGCCGCGGGAGGGAGGAAGGUACAGAGUAUCGUAAACCUCUUUUGUCAGGGAACAAAGACUGGGACGCGUCCCCGGAUGAGUGUACCUGAAGAAAAAGCAUCGGCUAACUCCGUGCCAGCAGCCGCGGUAAUACGGGGGAUGCGAGCGUUAUCGGGUUUUAUUGGGUUGAAUGGGUGCGCAGGCGGUCUGUUAAGUCAGCGGUCAAAGCCCGGGGCUCACCCCCGGCCCGCCGUUGAAACUGGCAGUCUCGAGUUGGAGAGAAGUAUGCGGAAAGCGCGGUGUAGCGGUGAAAUGCAUAGAUAGCGCGCAGAACUCCGAUUGCGAAGGCAGCAUGCCGGCUCCACACUGACGCUGAGGCACGAAAGCGUGGGUAUCGAACAGGAUUAGAUACCCUUGUAGUC
rnacentral:rRNA from 1 species